UGCCCGAUGGUGUAAUGGUAGCACAGAAGCCUUUGGAGCUUUUAGUCAUGGUUCGAAUCCAUGUCGGGCAA
rnacentral:tRNA from 1 species